UUUUUUUUUUCUAUAAGAAGAGAGAAAAAAAAAACAAUAAUGCAGAGUUGAACUGCUACGGAAUAGACCCAAUUGCAGCAAUCCUUUCUGCACACCAGCAUCGGGGUAAGGGAGAUGCCAUCCUCAUGGAGACUGUUGAAACAGACAAGAAGGUGGAUCACAGUUUGGUAUCACAAUACGGGAGCCCACUUUGCCCCUUCCUUUCCUCCAAGUCCCUGAGAAAUUGCAGAGGGAGCGCUUUGUUCUUCUUACCCUUGGUGUUGACGUCUAAAAGGCUAUCGCAGACAUGAUACCUCCCACUUGCCUGAUGCAACUAGGGGAAACCAGAUAGCUUAUGAAGCCAAUCUUGUCAGGAGCCUCCAUGUGGGGGAAAAAAAAACAAAACAAAAAACCCCCUAAAGGCUGGGAAAGUCCCAGCAGCUUGAAUAUUGCCCAGGACUCUAGCUACCUUUGCAUUACGAAAGAGACCACUGGAGAGGAUGGCUUAAGACUGGGUAGUAAGCAUGUGGUCAUUUGACCAAAGACACGUAGUCCAAAGUAGCUUUCUGUUUUAAUAUUAUCAUAUGAUCCAAGUCCUACAAACAACAUCCUUGACUGAAAUCGAAAAGAAACAAAACCCUCACUUCUAAGAAGCAGAGCAAGCGGCGUUUUUAGAGACAAAGAAAGGAUAGCUUCUUAACCUAUGACAACACAAAUUUGUUUAGGUUUUCCCUCCACCAAGUAAGUAAGCAAUUAGGUUUUUUACAAUAAAAAUAUCCCCGUGCAUGUGCAAACACCAGAGGCAAUCAUAUAAUUACCCUGCCCAAUCAGAUUCAAUUGCUGACAGUUGAGUUCCCACUGCUCAUUAACUUCAGAUCACAAAGAGGUCUUUAAGGAAGCCCUUUCCUUCUCUUUACAAAGGUUCCUAUGAUGCCGCGAUCAGCCCCGGCACUACCUCAUGCAAGAUAAUCAUCCCCAAAUCACCAGGGCCAAGGCCAGCCUCCUCUGGCUUCCUUCUGAAAAAAUAAAAUGAGAAAUUCGAAGACACCUUGGCUUAAACACCCUUGCUUCAUUUGGGGAUCUCACUUCUAAAUAUAAUAGUAACCUUUCACCCCCACAUUUUAAGUGCCGUAAUUACAUAAUUAAAACCAAUUAUGUCAUUUAACAGAGACUUUGUCAAGAUACGGCAAGCCAAUUACCUCAAUCAUUGACCUCAGAGGAUUUCCCACACUGACCUGAAACAGUGAGAAUUGGGAUAAAUUUAGACACUGGCUUCCGAAGGCUGGCAUGGACUAGCAGGGUGGGUUGUAACUGGUCUAGAUUCUUUGAGACUUUAGAAGCUAAACUGAAUUCAUUCCCAUCUACACCAUCACUACUUGUUUGCACAAUCCUUCCCAUAUCCCAAGAUAAUUGCUUGAUUUUUUUAUAACCACUCUGAUGGAACGAUUACUUCCAUGUUGCAGACAGAAAAAGGAGGCAGGGAGAGUCCUAAAGUUAUCUGAAGUCAAGCAGCUAGUGUUAACAGCAACGCUAGGGCAAGACCUAAGUCUUCCACCACAGAAUUCAAAGUCUCCAUGUAGCGAGUGGUGUGUGGGUGCCUCUCUUACCCCAAUUUCCCUUUGAGGCAACACAUUUGCCCCCACUUUUAUUUAAUUCACCUGCACGGCACAAGGUUCCACUGCAACUCAGGGGGUGUGUCCUAAAUUAGGCCCCAGCCAAUUAGCUUCCAGCAUUCCUCCCCUAGCCACAGCAUUGGUUCAGGAUGAGCACAUGAUCCCAUCAAAGCCAAUGAGAGACACUGACACUUUUUGCAGGGCCUGUGCGAUCUCUGCCUAACUGUGCUUGGAGUGACCGGAGGGAAGACUGGAAGUUAAGCAGCCAUCAUGCUCCACUGAGGAAGUGAGGGUGACUGGAGCCAAGAGAUGUGGAGGGAGAAACUGGUUCCAGGAAACACCCUCUAUUCCCUGUCGCUUCAUGCUGCGAGUUACAGGGGUUAUUCAAAAGCACACUGGAGAAAGCAGGAAGAGCGCCACCUACAGCUUGGGUAGGCUCCAUUUCGAGGAUGGAAUCAAUCCACUGUGGCUCCGAGGCCUGCCUCCUGCUUGCGACAGUUAAAUGCCUUCGGUUUUUGAGUUAUUUAAAGAACAUACCAUUUUAUGGGCAGGAGGAAGCACUUUAAUCUGCAAAAUGAUUUUUAUCACAAACUAAACAUCCUUGUAACUUUUUGGUCCUCUGCUUUGGUCAAAGUUGUCUCUCCUUGGAGCUCAGACAGCUGUUGGAGCUCAGAAGAUCUGCCUCCACCCUGCACUUUGCCCUGCUCGCUGGUACUCUGGUGCUCUCCAAUUCCUGGAUCCAUGUGGGAUGUAAGAACUCAGGAUCAGGACGCCUGCACGCAUCAAAAUGGGGCAUUUUCUUUCUCUUUAUCCCAGGACUUGAGAGAAAGCAAAAAACAAACAAACACAAACAAAAAAAAAAAAAAAAAAAACAAGAAUUCCUCUAAUUUAAGGUUUUUAACCUUGACACUUGAAGUUUUGGGCCAGACAAUUAUUUGUCAUCAGGACUGCUUUGUGCAAUGUAGGAUAUUCCUGGCCUCUACCCACUAGAUGACCCAUUAGCACCCCUCAUUUGGGACAACCAAAAAUGUCCGUGGACAUUGACAAAUAACCAGGGAUGGGGGCCAAGAUCCCCCCUCAUUCCCCAGCUCCCCAUUUCCUGGUUAAAAACCACUGCUGACAGCAUCUUUAAAAACAUAAUUCCUUGUAGUAUUAUGUUGUGAGACUGAGAGAACCACCACCCUCCUUAGAACUUUACAAAAGCCAUAUAAAAUAUCCCCUGAGGAGAACUGACUUAAAGAAACUUCAAGAUAGCAGCCUGCGCAACAUAGUGAAAUCCCAUCUCUACGGAAAAACACACACACACACACACACACACACACACACACACACACACAAAGUAGCCAGGCAUGGUGGCACGAACCUGUAGUACCAACUAUCCGGAAGGCUGAGGCUGAGGUGGGAGGAUUCCUUGAGCCUCGGAGGUCAAGGCUGCAGUGAGCCCUGAUGGUGCCACUGCACUCCAGCUUGGCCGACAGAACGAGACCUUGACUCCAAAAUAGCAAUACUACUGUCUGUCAGGGCUAUGAAGCCACAUGAGACUUGACCCAUUAAGGACAAGAGUGAAGAAAAAUGUAUCAAAUAGAAAUAAUUUUAUCUAAACACUGGCAAGAGGAAAAAGACAUGGAGGAGAAACUUAGAAAUGAAAAGCAGUGAGGCAUCUAUAUGUUUUUCCGAGGCAAAAUUUACAUACCAUCAAGGUCAUCCAUGCAAAUGUUCUAGAGUUGAAAAGAAAGCUCUUUCUACAUCUGCAAGGCUGAUUCAUUUUUCUCCCUUCCAAGAACUCUACUAAAAAAAUUAUUUGUUGCUUAUCUGAAAUGCAAAUGUAACUGGAUGUCCUGUAUUUGUGAAAUUCCGGCAACCCUAAUCCAGGACCAAAGCAGAAUUAACCAAAUAAAUGAAAGUGCAUGUCUAGAAAUAAAUGUACUUUUCUGGA